rnacentral:rRNA from 1 species
UGGGGAAUAUUGCACAAUGGAGGGAACUCUGAUGCAGCGACGCCGCGUGUGUGAUGAAGGAAUUCGUUUCGUAAAACUCUGUUCUAUGGGAAGAAAAGGACUGUACCAUAGGAGAAAGCUCCGGCUAAAUACGUGCCAGCAGCCGCGGUAAUACGUAUGGAGCGAGCGUUGUCCGGAAUUAUUGGGCGUAAAGGGUGCGCAGGCGGCUUUACAAGUUGGAUGUGAAAUAUUGUGGCUCAACCACAAACGUGCAUCCAAAACUGGAAAGCUUGAGUUAAGGAGAGGUAAGUGGAAUUCCUGGGGUAGCGGUGGAAUGCGUAGAUAUCAGGAGGAAUACCGGUGGCGAAGGCGACUUACUGGACUGAAACUGACGCUCAGGCAAGAAAGCGUGGGGAGAAAAAAGG